rnacentral:rRNA from 1 species
UACGGGGGGGGCAAGCGUUGUUCGGAAUUACUGGGCGUAAAGGGCGCGUAGGCGGUCUGUCGCGUCUGCUGUGAAAACCUAGGGCUUAACCCUGGGCCUGCAGUGGGUACGGGCAGACUAGAGUGCGGUAGGGGAGACUGGAAUUCCUGGUGUAGCGGUGAAAUGCGCAGAUAUCAGGAGGAACACCGAUUGCGAAGGCAGCUCGCUGGGACGUUACUGACGCUGAGACGCGAAAGCGUGGGGAGCAAACAGG